rnacentral:rRNA from 1 species
UGGGGAAUUUUGCACAAUGGGGGAAACCCUGAUGCAGCGACGCCGCGUGAUUUAGAAGGCCUUCGGGUUGUAAAAAUCUUUUCUAUGGGAAGAAAAUGACAGUACCAUAGGAAUAAGGACCGGCUAAUUACGUGCCAGCAGCCGCGGUAAUACGUAAGGUCCGAGCGUUGUCCGGAAUCAUUGGGCGUAAAGGGUACGUAGGCGGGUAAGCAAGUUAGAAGUGAAAUCCUAUAGCUCAACUAUAGUAAGCUUUUAAAACUGCUCAUCUUGAGGUAUGGAAGGGAAAGUGGAAUUCCUAGUGUAGCGGUGAAAUGCGCAGAUAUUAGGAGGAAUACCGGUGGCGAAGGCGACUUUCUGGCCAUAACCUGACGCUGAGGUACGAAAGCGUGGGUAGCAA